AGAUAAAUAGUGUUCUGUACAUUGGAGAAUUCAUUUAUCAAUAAUACAAGGGUCUGUUUUCCCUCUUAAAUCUCUCUCUCUCUUUUCUUUCCCUAGCUUCUAUUCUCUUCUUGAUACUUCUUCCCUCUCUUCUUCUGUCCUUUCUCCUCCUCCUCCUCCUUCUAAUUCUGGUUUUUUCAUGAAGAAUGAGCCAUCAGGUCAGGUAAAUGAGUCUUUAUGCUGACAGCCUUGUUGGAUGAAAGGGCUUCUGUGGGUCCAUUUGUGUACACAGGUUUGCAUGCACAUGCGUGUUGUGUGCAUGCACUCAUGCAUGUGUGCUUGCAAGUGCAUGUUCAUAAAUGGGUGCUCUUGUGUAUUUGUGUGGGUGCUCUUAAUCAGUAGGUUUUUAACUGAGUUCUGAAAUAUGCUUC
rnacentral:misc_RNA from 1 species